AGUGAACGCUGGCGGUAGGCCUAACACAUGCAAGUCGAACGGCAGCACAGUAAGAGCUUGCUCUUACGGGUGGCGAGUGGCGGACGGGUGAGGAAUACAUCGGAAUCUACUUUUUCGUGGGGGAUAACGUAGGGAAACUUACGCUAAUACCGCAUACGACCUACGGGUGGAAGCAGGGGAUCUUCGGACCUUGCGCGAUUGAAUGAGCCGAUGUCGGAUUAGCUAGUUGGCGGGGUAAAGGCCCACCAAGGCGACGAUCCGUAGCUGGUCUGAGAGGAUGAUCAGCCACACUGGAACUGAGACACGGUCCAGACUCCUACGGGAGGCAGCAGUGGGGAAUAUUGGACAAUGGGCGCAAGCCUGAUCCAGCCAUACCGCGUGGGUGAAGAAGGCCUUCGGGUUGUAAAGCCCUUUUGUUGGGAAAGAAAAGCAGCAGGUUAAUACCCCGCUGUUCUGACGGUACCCAAAGAACAAGCACCGGCUAACUUCGUG
rnacentral:rRNA from 1 species